UACAGAGGGUGCAAGCGUUAAUCGGAAUUACUGGGCAUAAAGCGUGCGUAGACGGUUACGUAAGUCAGAUGUGAAAGCCCCGGGCUCAACCUGGGAAUUGCGAUGGAGACUGCAAGGCUUGAAUCUGGCAGAGGGGGGUAGAAUUCCACGUGUAGCAGUGAAAUGCGUAGAGAUGUGGAGGAACACCGAUGGCGAAGGCAGCCCCCUGGGUCAAGACUGACGCUCAUGCACGAAAGCGUGGGGAGCAAACAGG
rnacentral:rRNA from 1 species